AACCUCUGCCCUCCAGGUUCAAAGGAUUUUCCUGCCUCAGCCUCCUGAGUAGCUGGAAUUACGGAGCUUCAGAUCCAAAUGGUAUGCUAGCAUUCUCUUCCUAGCAGUCCACUGUCAAGACUUCACUGUUAGAAGAAGAAUCACACCAGAAUUAAGGUCAAAUGGAUUAUCUUAUUCUUAAUUGCUGAAAAUCACACCUCAUUGAAAUUUGCUUCAUAACUGAACCAUGAAUUUUUCAUCAAACAUACUUUUGUGUUUCUCCUCCUGGCAUUCUUUAUGAGGAACUUCUUUUUGGAGCUCACUGACUUCCUGUUCUAAUUUGGUCCAGUUAUUUUCUAGAAUUGCUACAUGACUGUCAUCCUGGGACAUCCUUCUGUUGGAAUCUGGGAGAGCUUACAACUUUUCAUAUCCUCUCUUCUUCUUUGUGUUUUUCACCCUGAAGUGUACAAAGUCAAAUGAAUUUCCUAGAAAAACUAGUGAGUUAAUAUUUUGAGUCCUUGUGAUAUGGGAGGGGGGCAGGGAAG
rnacentral:lncRNA from 10 species